CAAUAGCGUAUAUUUAAGUUGUUGCAGUUAAAAAGCUCGUAGUUGGAUUUUGGUUAAGAGGGCGCGGUCGGCGUUUGGUCUGUACUGCGUUGUCUUGACUUCCUGAUGAGGACAUGCUCUUGGUUAACGCUGAGACAUGGAGUCAUCGUGGUUACUUGAAAAAUUAGAGUGUUCAAAGCGGGCUUACGCUUGAAUAUAUUAGCAUGGAAUAACACUAUAGGACUCCUGUCCUAUCUCGUUGGUCUCGGGAUGGGGAGUAAUGAUUAGCAAGGAACGGACAGUUGGGGGGCAUUCGUAUUUCAUUGUCAGAGGUGAAAUUCUUGGAUUUAUGAAAGACGAACUUCUGCGAAAGCAUUUGCCAAGGAUGUUUUUCAUUAAUCAAGAACGAAAGUUGGGGGCGUCGAAGACGAUCAGAU
rnacentral:rRNA from 1 species